rnacentral:rRNA from 1 species
AUUGAACGCUGGCGGCAGGCCUAACACAUGCAAGUCGAGCGGCAGCGGAAAGUAGCUUGCUACUUUGCCGGCGAGCGGCGGACGGGUGAGUAAUGUCUGGGAAACUGCCUGAUGGAGGGGGAUAACUACUGGAAACGGUAGCUAAUACCGCAUAACGUCGCAAGACCAAAGAGGGGGACCUUCGGGCCUCUUGCCAUCAGAUGUGCCCAGAUGGGAUUAGCUAGUAGGUGGGGUAACGGCUCACCUAGGCGACGAUCCCUAGCUGGUCUGAAAGGAUGACCAGCCACACUGGAACUGGGACACGGUCCAGACUCCUACGGGAGGCAGCAGUGGGUAAUAUUGCACAAUGGGCGCAAGCCUGAUGCAGCCAUGCCGCGUGUAUGAAGAAGGCCUUCGGGUUGUAAAGUACUUUCAGCGGGGAGGAAGGUGUUGAGGUUAAUAACCUCAGCAAUUGACGUUACCCGCAGAGGAAGCACCGGCUAACUCCGUGCCAGCCGCCGCGGUAA